rnacentral:rRNA from 1 species
UACGUAGGGUCCGAGCGUUGUCCGGAAUUAUUGGGCGUAAAGAGCUCGUAGGCGGUUUGUCGCGUCUGCCGUGAAAGUCCGGGGCUCAACUCCGGAUCUGCGGUGGGUACGGGCAGACUAGAGUGAUGUAGGGGAGACUGGAAUUCCUGGUGUAGCGGUGAAAUGCGCAGAUAUCAGGAGGAACACCGAUGGCGAAGGCAGGUCUCUGGGCAUUAACUGACGCUGAGGAGCGAAAGCUGGGGAGCGAACAGG